GACGAACCGAGCGAACGUUGUUCGGAAUCACUGGGCGUAAAGGGCGCGUAGGCGGACUUUUAAGUCGGAGGUGAAAGCCCAGGGCUCAACCCUGGAAUUGCCUUCGAUACUGGGAGUCUUGAGUUCGGAAGAGGUUGGUGGAACUGCGAGUGUAGAGGUGAAAUUCGUAGAUAUUCGCAAGAACACCGGUGGCGAAGGCGGCCAACUGGUCCGAAACUGACGCUGAGGCGCGAAAGCGUGGGGAGCAAACAGG
rnacentral:rRNA from 1 species